GAGAAGAACGGACAGAUAAGAUCUUCAAACAGUAUGGACAUUGACAAUGAUGGUAGAUUGUCUCUGGAGGAGUUCAUCAAAGGCGCCAAGAGCGACCCGUCCAUCGUCAGACUGCUGCAGUCGGAUCAGGGAACGUCUCGGCAAUACUGAAAACACACGCAGCAUCUGCUGUUCGUCCACAAUAUCUGUGAGCUUUGCAUCU